UACGAAGGGUGCAAACGUUGCUCGGAAUUAUUGGGCGUAAAGCGCACGUAGGCGGCUUUGCAAGUCGGAUGUGAAAUCCCUCGGCUUAACCAAGGAAGUGCAUCCGAAACUGCAGAGCUUGAGUACUUAAGAGGAUCGCGGAAUUCCCGGUGUAGUGGUGAAAUGCGUAGAUAUCGGGAGGAACACCAGUGGCGAAGGCGACUACCUGGCCUGUUCUUGACGCUGAGGCGCGAAAGCUAGGGGAGCAAACGGG
rnacentral:rRNA from 1 species